rnacentral:lncRNA from 1 species
AUUUAUAUGACAUACAAAAACAUACAUGACAUACAUGUAUGAUUUGACCUUAUACAUAUGAAUGUAUAUAAACAUAUAACUCUUCUAAACUUUAGCUCGACAAUGUUAGAUCUGUAAAUUUUGCUUUUCUUGGUCUUACCUCACCGCGAUUCAAACUCAUCCUACUGAGAUAUGGUGUACCAAAUUGCCUUGCAUAAUCCCAUAUAUACCCAACACACUAGACCACUCGAUCACCUAGGCUUUGGUGAAAAUGUUGUUUGUGCUGUAUUAAGAUCCCUCUACCAAGAAAUUUGUUUUGCUUACACACAUUUAAAAAUUGUAGUUUAAAUAAAAGGUUAUCCAAC